CUUGGUUUCACAGGUUGUCGCAAACACCAACUGAACUUUGACGAUUCAGAGGAAAAACGAACAUGUCGGAGUGAAUAGGCGGACUAGAGACUUUCAACUCGGAAGAUGACCCCGUAAUGCCGCCUAUGACCCAUGAAACGAUCUACAACUAAGGAUGGGUCGAAUGUAUCGACGAGGGGAUUCACGCCAUGAUCGUCGUAGUGACAUCCCAAUGGAACAGCAGGAGAUAGCGGCCAACAUGAUCCACAAGGACAUCGAAGCAUACGCCAAUGAAUACAUCUGAUCGGAAUGAACUCCCUUUGGACUGGGAAAACAACCAAAGCCAGUUGACCCCGUCCGGAACGUUUUCGCCAAUCGAGGACAGAGGCAGUACCAUCUAUAUAACCGAGAGCACUACCAGUGUGCUUGCCAGCAGGAUACUGCCGUAGACCAAGCCGUAGCCGAUCUGGUAUUGGAGUUCGAUUCCAACUAGCUUGACUGUGAAUCUUCACCAUGGAACCAGUUAUUUUUUAUGGAUACCUUCCGAUGGCAACAUUGCGUGUUCAAAUUAGCGAUGCAACUGCAUGUAAAAAAGUGAUAAAUAGUGAGUUUAGUGAAAUAAAUUAAAACAACUAAA